rnacentral:rRNA from 1 species
UGGGGAAUUUUGGACAAUGGGCGAAAGCCUGAUUCAGCAAUGCCGCGUGUGUGAAGAAGGCCUUCGGGUUGUAAAGCACUUUUGUCCGGAAAGAAAUCCUUGGCUCUAAUACAGUCGGGGGAUGACGGUACCGGAAGAAUAAGCACCGGCUAACUACGUGCCAGCAGCCGCGGUAAUACGUAGGGUGCAAGCGUUAAUCGGAAUUACUGGGCGUAAAGCGUGCGCAGGCGGUUUGCUAAGACCGAUGUGAAAUCCCCGGGCUCAACCUGGGAACUGCAUUGGUGACUGGCAGGCUAGAGUAUGGCAGAGGGGGGUAGAAUUCCACGUGUAGCAGUGAAAUGCGUAGAGAUGUGGAGGAAUACCGAUGACGAAGGCAGCCCCCUGGGCCAAUACUGACGCUCAUGCACGAAAGCGUGGGGGAGCAAACAGGAUUAGAUACCCCUGGUAGUCCCACGCCCUAAAACGAUGUCAACUAGUUGUUGGGGAUUCAUUUCCUUAGUAACGUAGCUAACGCGUGAAGUUGACCGCCUGGGGGAGCACGGGUCGCAAGAUUAAAACUCAAAUGAAUUGACGGGGUCAUAGCUG